CUCACGCGAUAGAAACGUGUUCGCUGCCCAGAAGAAGGGAAGGCGCGAGUGAGGAAAGGAGGUACUGUAGUGUCUCCUGUUUCUGGUGAGAUGAAGAAGAGGAAGGCAAUUACUCUUGAAAUGAAACUCAAGAUAAUUGCCCAGCAUGAAGGUGGCAAGCCAGUAAUGGCCAUUGCACGUGAGUUAGGACUUUCGCAAUCCACGAUUUCAACCAUCUUAAGGGAUAAGAAGCGAAUCAGUGAUGCAGCGAAAUCGUCAGCAUCAGUUAAAUCCACUGUCAUCACAAAGAAAAGGGCUGGACCAAUUGAUGAUAUGGAAAAAUUACUUGUUAUGUGGAUGGAAGACCAGAUACAGAAGCGUAUACCACUUAGCCUACUGAUGAUCCAGGCUAAGGCAAGAAGUCUUUUUAAUAUGCUAAAAGACCAUGCCAGUGAUCCUACAUAUACACAAAUGUUUAAAGCAAGUCAUGGAUGGUUCCAGCGCUUCAAAAGGCGUCAUAAUUUUCACAAUGUAAAGAUCACUGGUGAGGCA
rnacentral:sRNA from 1 species